CCCUUAGAUGUUCUGGGCUGCACGCGUGCUACAAUGGCGCUUGCAACAAGUCUUGCCAACCCGAUAGGGUGAGCGGAUCUUUGAAGAGGCGUCGUGAUCGGGACAGUUGAUUGCAAUUAUUCGACUCGAACGAGGAAUUCCUUGUAAUCGCGAUUCAUCAUAUCGCGCUGAAUACGUCCCUGCCCUUUGUACACACCGCCCGUCGCUCCUACCGAUGAGUCGUCCGGUGAAGUUCGUAGACCUCGUGAUCGCGGAUCACUGGGGGAAGCAAAAUGAACCUCGCGGUUUAGAGGAAGGAGAAGUCGUAACA
rnacentral:rRNA from 1 species